rnacentral:rRNA from 1 species
GGGUUGUGAGGUUAAGCGACUAAGCGUACACGGUGGAUGCCCUGGCAGUCAGAGGCGAUGAAGGACGUGCUAAUCUGCGAAAAGCGCCGGCGAGGUGAUAUGAACCUUUGACCCGGCGAUGUCCGAAUGGGGAAACCCAGUGCAAUCCGUUGCACUAUCGUUAACUGAAUACAUAGGUUAACGAGGCGAACCGGGGGAACUGAAACAUCUAAGUACCCCGAGGAAAAGAAAUCAACCGAGAUUCCCCCAGUAGCGGCGAGCGAACGGGGAGCAGCCCGGAGUCUGAAUCAGCUUGUGUGUUAGUGGAACGGUCUGGAAAGUCCGACGGUACAGGGUGAUAGUCCCGUACACGAAAGCACACAUGCUGUGAACUCGAAGAGUAGGGCGGGACACGUGGUAUCCUGUCUGAAUAUGGGGGGACCAUCCUCCAAGGCUAAAUACUCCUGACUGACCGAUAGUGAACCAGUACCGUGAGGGAAAGGCGAAAAGAACCCCGGCGAGGGGAGUGAAAAAGAACCUGAAACCGUGUACGUACAAGCAGUGGGAGCCUCUUUAUGGGGUGACUGCGUACCUUUUGUAUAAUGGGUCAGCGACUUAUAUUCUGUAGCAAGGUUAACCGUAUAGGGGAGCCGAAGGGAAACCGAGUCUUAACUGGGCGUUAAGUUGCAGGGUAUAGACCCGAAACCCGGUGAUCUAGCCAUGGGCAGGUUGAAGGUUGGGUAACACUAACUGGAGGACCGAACCGACUAAUGUUGAAAAAUUAGCGGAUGACCUGUGGCUGGGGGUGAAAGGCCAAUCAAACCGGGAGAUAGCUGGUUCUCCCCGAAAGCUAUUUAGGUAGCGCCUCGUGAACUCAUCUUCGGGGGUAGAGCACUGUUUCGGCUAGGGGGCCAUCCCGGCUUACCAACCCGAUGCAAACUACGAAUACCGAAGAAUGUUAUCACGGGAGACACACGGCGGGUGCUAACGUCCGUCGUGAAGAGGGAAACAACCCAGACCGCCAGCUAAGGUCCCAAAGUCAUGGUUAAGUGGGAAACGAUGUGGGAAGGCACAGACAGCCAGGAUGUUGGCUUAGAAGCAGCCAUCAUUUAAAGAAAGCGUAAUAGCUCACUGGUCGAGUCGGCCUGCGCGGAAGAUGUAACGGGGCUAAACCAUGCACCGAAGCUGCGGCAGCGACGCUUAUGCGUUGUUGGGUAGGGGAGCGUUCUGUAAGCCGUUGAAGGUGUCCUGUGAGGGGUGCUGGAGGUAUCAGAAGUGCGAAUGCUGACAUAAGUAACGAUAAAGCGGGUGAAAAGCCCGCUCGCCGGAAGACCAAGGGUUCCUGUCCAACGUUAAUCGGGGCAGGGUGAGUCGACCCCUAAGGCGAGGCCGAAAGGCGUAGUCGAUGGGAAACAGGUUAAUAUUCCUGUACUUGGUGUUACUGCGAAGGGGGGACGGAGAAGGCUAUGUCAGCCGGGCGACGGUUGUCCCGGUUUAAGCAUGUAGGCGGAGGUUCCAGGUAAAUCCGGUACCUUGUUAACGCUGAGGUGUGAUGACGAGGCACUACGGUGCUGAAGUGAUAAAUGCCCUGCUUCCAGGAAAAGCCUCUAAGCAUCAGGUAACACGAAAUCGUACCCCAAACCGACACAGGUGGUCAGGUAGAGAAUACCAAGGCGCUUGAGAGAACUCGGGUGAAGGAACUAGGCAAAAUGGUGCCGUAACUUCGGGAGAAGGCACGCUGAUGUGUAGGUGAAGUCCCUGCGGACGGAGCUGAAAUCAGUCGAAGAUACCAGCUGGCUGCAACUGUUUAUUAAAAACACAGCACUGUGCAAACACGAAAGUGGACGUAUACGGUGUGACGCCUGCCCGGUGCCGGAAGGUUAAUUGAUGGGGUUAGCGGCAACGCGAAGCUCUUGAUCGAAGCCCCGGUAAACGGCGGCCGUAACUAUAACGGUCCUAAGGUAGCGAAAUUCCUUGUCGGGUAAGUUCCGACCUGCACGAAUGGCGUAAUGAUGGCCAGGCUGUCUCCACCCGAGACUCAGUGAAAUUGAACUCGCUGUGAAGAUGCAGUGUACCCGCGGCAAGACGGAAAGACCCCGUGAACCUUUACUAUAGCUUGACACUGAACACUGGUCCUUGAUGUGUAGGAUAGGUGGGAGGCUUUGAAGCGUGGACGCCAGUCUGCGUGGAGCCAACCUUGAAAUACCACCCUUUAAUGGCUGGUGUUCUAACGUAGACCCGUAAUCCGGGUUGCGGACAGUGUCUGGUGGGUAGUUUGACUGGGGCGGUCUCCUCCCAAAGAGUAACGGAGGAGCACGAAGGUUGGCUAAUCCUGGUCGGACAUCAGGAGGUUAGUGCAAUGGCAUAAGCCAGCUUGACUGCGAGCGUGACGGCGCGAGCAGGUGCGAAAGCAGGUCAUAGUGAUCCGGUGGUUCUGAAUGGAAGGGCCAUCGCUCAACGGAUAAAAGGUACUCCGGGGAUAACAGGCUGAUACCGCCCAAGAGUUCAUAUCGACGGCGGUGUUUGGCACCUCGAUGUCGGCUCAUCACAUCCUGGGGCUGAAGUAGGUCCCAAGGGUAUGGCUGUUCGCCAUUUAAAGUGGUACGCGAGCUGGGUUUAGAACGUCGUGAGACAGUUCGGUCCCUAUCUGCCGUGGGCGCUGGAGAAUUGAGGGGGGCUGCUCCUAGUACGAGAGGACCGGAGUGGACGCAUCACUGGUGUUCGGGUUGUCAUGCCAAUGGCACUGCCCGGUAGCUAAAUGCGGAAGAGAUAAGUGCUGAAAGCAUCUAAGCACGAAACUUGCCCCGAGAUGAGUUCUCCCUGAGACCUUGAGUCUCCUGAAGGAACGUUGAAGACGACGACGUUGAUAGGUCGGGUGUGUAAGCGCAGCGAUGCGUUGAGCUAACCGAUACUAAUGAACCGUGAGGCUUAACCUUACAACGCCGAAGGUGUUU